rnacentral:lncRNA from 1 species
CUGCUGGGGAACAGGACACUAGGAUGUCCACGCAACCUGAUGCCAUGAAGUCAUUGGUGACCUGUCAAGAAGAGUGUUACUGCAGAGCAGAGGGCAAAAGCCAGGGGAGUUCAUGACCAGAGGUGAGGCGGUGUGUGGAGCGCUGCUGGGGAAGGGGGGAGGUCAGUGAUGGUGGGAGGGCUGGCUUUCCAGGAAGGCUGGGCACUGCUUCCUUGUCAGGCAGAGAAGGUGGACACACAUGCAGGCAGGUUUGUACCUGGAAGCAGAAAUGCAAAGGCUUUUGCUGAGACCUUUUACAGAUAGAGGGUGCUGCAGUAAAAGCUUCCAACCCCGGCCCUUCUAAUCUGUGUCCAGCAGGUCAGUCAACAAACCCACAGAGGACAUCCUGACCUUUCCCCCUUCCGAGCUCUGUUCCUCUGGCUCAUUCCCAGCUGUGCGCGUCUCCAGGUUUCUCUGCCCCCUGGGGCUGUGGGCUCCUGAGUAGGACUUCUGUUCCUUUGCAUUCUCUGUGGUUCUAGGAAGUGCUUGGUCCCCAACAGAUGCCUGCUUGACACUUGCUGAUGGAGAGCUUGUCAAUUUCAUCCAGCAAACCGGAAUCACUGGGGCCAUCCAGGAAUCACAGCAGCUCAUGAAGAAAUUCCACGGGAUCAGGGCUGUUAAAAGCCAACCUGCCAGAAAGGGUAGAACGGAGGAAGGACAAGAGGGUUCUAACACGUCCUGGAGGCAGAGCACCCACGGAAGUUUCUCAACACUUCUUGUUGAUUCAAGUGGAAGUGGUAUGAACUGUGUGGCACUGCUGUCCUCGCUGGCAUAUAUAGAUUUACACUCCAGGGACGAGACUUCCAAGGCAACACCUAGGAUUUAGCGACUGUUGUCAGAGACGGGCAUGGAGGCAACGUCCUGGUUCUCAUGUGGUCAAGAAGGUAGAUGAAGAGAAACGUGGGCUAAGCA